UACAGAGGGUGCGAGCGUUAAUCGGAAUUACUGGGCGUAAAGCGUGCGUAGACGGUUACGUAAGUCGGAUGUGAAAGCCCCGGGCUCAACCUGGGAAUUGCAUUCGAGACUGCGUAGCUAGGAUGCGGAAGAGGGAUGCGGAAUUCCAGGUGUAGCGGUGAAAUGCGUAGAUAUCUGGAGAAACACCGGUGGCGAAGGCGGCGAUCCUGGACCGGCAUUGACGCUGAGGCGCGGAAAGCCAGGGGAGCAAACGGG
rnacentral:rRNA from 1 species